GACGAACGCUGGCGGCGUGCUUAACACAUGCAAGUCGAACGCUGAAGCUCAGCUUUUGUUGGGCGGAGGAGUGGCGAACGGGUGAGUAACACGUGAGUAACCUGCCCCCUUCUUUGGGAUAACGCCGGGAAACGGGUGCUAAUACUGGAUAUUCACUGGUCUUCGCCUGUGGGCUGGUGGCAAUGGUUUGUCUGGUGGGGGAUGGGCUCGAGGCCUAUCAGCUUGUUGGUGGGGUGAUGGCCUCGCAAGGCUUUGACGGGUAGCCGGCCGGCGAGGGUGACCGGUCACAUUGGGACGGAGAUACGGCCCAGACUCCUACGGGAGGCAGCAGUGGGGAAUAGUGCACAAGGGGGGCAAGCCUGAUGCAGCGACGGCGCGUGAGGGAUGGAGGCCUUCGGGUUGUGAACCUCUUUCGCUCAUGGUCAAGCCGCAACAAUGGUUGUGGUGAGGGUAGUGGGUAAAGAAGCGCCGGCUAACUACGUG
rnacentral:rRNA from 1 species